ACCUGAGUCCAGGUGAUCUGAACUGUUAAGCCAUCUUUCCAGCCCCACUGGGGAUUCAGCUCUUGCAACAGUGAGGCGGACCUGACAAUACAUUGAAGCGGGGAAGGUGCCAGACAUCCAGAGGCCUUCCAGACACUGGCCACUCACUGCUCUACCUCUGGCUCCCAGAAUGGUGCUGAGCACCUACAAAGUGAGGAUGGACUCCGCUAGUGCUGUCCCCUAGGACACCGUGGCUGGUGGGUCCAUUCAAACUCACUCUUUUUCAUGGAGACAAGUUUGCCAAGGGCUGGGUCAGCAGGAUGAAGAACCCAAACAGCAGCUCUGGGGCCUUAAUUCUAGUUAUCAAAGAAUUUGAAUGCCCACCAGGAGGUUCAGCAGCCACCUUGAAGGCGUGAGCUGAAGGCACAAGCUGAGAAGGCCAGACCCCUGCAAAGAGCGAUGAUCACUUCUCCAGCUCUGCCCUCUGCAGCACACACAGACGUCUUCUUUGCCACUGAAGGGAUGAUGUGCUGACAAGCUGCAGCGCUAGCUACAGUAGGUUCCCGUGUCCCCAGCUGCUGGGCUGAGGAUGAGAGACAGCCCUGAAGCCGGCUGGCUCCUCCAGCAGCUGCUCUGUUCCUGCAUCAAAGGUCGGACUUUAGGAUCUGGGCCACUGCUGUGAGCUCUGAGAAGGCACAUGGCCCGAGGACCUCAGCGCGUGGACCUCCCAAGCCUCCGAACAUCCCAUCGCCCCGUCAGGGAGAAGAGUGGAAAACAAAGGGAUGCUCUCUCUGAACCCAGCCUGCCCUGGGUCUAAUCGCUGUGCUAUCUAAGCAGCUGGGUGCCUGGACCUGAAAAGCAAUGACACACACAGCUUGUCACGUGGAUUUGGAAAGCACUUGGCAGAGAGUGCCAGGCACACGGCCUCCUCAUCACUAUUGUUAUCCGACAGUGUGUAGCUAUGUAUUUCACCACUGAAAUACAGUCCCAUGCAGUAAAAUGCACCUGUUUUAAGAAUACAACUGAUGGUUUGUGUG